rnacentral:tRNA from 1 species
UUGCUGGAUUCUAUUAUUGGAUUGGUAAAAUUACAGGUCUACAAUAUCCUGAAACUUUAGGUCAAAUUCACUUUUGGCUUU